rnacentral:rRNA from 1 species
GACGAACGCUGGCGGCGUGCUUAACACAUGCAAGUCGAACGGAAAGGCCCUGCUUUUGUUGGGUGCUCGAGUGGCGAACGGGUGAGUAACACGUGAGUAACCUGCCCUUGACUUUGGGAUAACUUCAGGAAACUGGGGCUAAUACCGGAUAGGAUCUCCUGCUGCAUGGUGGGGGUUGGAAAGUUUCGGCGGUUGGGGAUGGACUCGCGGCUUAUCAGCUUGUUGGUGGGGUAGUGGCUUACCAAGGCUUUGACGGGUAGCCGGCCUGAGAGGGUGACCGGCCACAUUGGGACUGAGAUACGGCCCAGACUCCUACGGGAGGCAGCAGUGGGGAAUAUUGCACAAUGGGCGGAAGCCUGAUGCAGCAACGCCGCGUGCGGGAUGACGGCCUUCGGGUUGUAAACCGCUUUCGCCUGUGACGAAGCGUGAGUGACGGUAAUGGGUAAAGAAGCACCGGCUAACUACGUG